rnacentral:rRNA from 1 species
UACGGAGGAUGCGAGCGUUAUCCGGAUUUAUUGGGUUUAAAGGGUGCGUAGGCGGCUUUUUAAGUCAGCGGUGAAAUUUUGCAGCUUAACUGUAACAGUGCCGUUGAUACUGGGGAGCUAGGAUUUAGUUGCUGUGGAUGGAAUGUGUGGUGUAGCGGUGAAAUGCUUAGAGAUCACACAGAAUAUCGAUUGCGAAGGCAGCUCACAAAGCCAAGAUUGACGCUGAGGCACGAAAGUGUGGGGAUCAAACAGGA